rnacentral:snRNA from 1 species
CGAGAGACCGAUAGCGAA